UAUAUCCUUGCUGGCUGGAGAAGCUAGCUGUCCCCCAGGUUGCUAUGUGGCAGCAGUCUGUAAAUAGAAGGCACUGGUCAUUUUCUUGGUGCAUCCACAUGAUUUCCACAACCUCCAUGGCUUCUGCUAGACUGUUUUACUCGCCUCUGCGGUUCUGGCUGCGAAUCCAAGUCCUGGUGUGGAAUUUGAACAACCCUUGAACCCCUGAGAUAUCAGAGGUACUAUAAAGCAAAAAGAGUCGGAACAUCCUGUGACCAGUCACUUCCUAAAGAGAGAGCAAAUUGUGUGUGUUAGAGAGUGUUCUACGUGAAAUAUGUGACACUGGAAGAUCAUCUUUUGUAAAAGAGAGCAGCAGCCAAAAGCAACCAGUCAAUCACUGACCCUACCUAGAGAAGCAGCAACAAUUUAUGAAUACACCAAGCAUAACCUGGAACUUAUUCACAUGACUACAAGAUGGAAUGUCUGGAUGCCCUCAAUUAGAUAUGAGAACACGUACAGACAUCAGGGAGUCCUGUAAAAUGAGCCGUGUUGGUAGAAGAAAUGGAAAUGGGCAUCAUUUCAGAAAAGUGAACUAUAUCAGAAAUACAUCAGUACUAGAAUAAAUUAUCCUGUAUACAGAA